rnacentral:rRNA from 1 species
GAUGAACGCUGACAGAAUGCUUAACACAUGCAAGUCUACUUGAAUUUGGGUUUUUUAACUUAGAUUUGGGUGGCGGACGGGUGAGUAACGCGUAAAGAACUUGCCUCACAGCUAGGGACAACAUUUGGAAACGAAUGCUAAUACCUGAUAUUAUGAUUAUAAGGCAUCUUAGAAUUAUGAAAGCUAUAUGCGCUGUGAGAGAGCUUUGCGUCCCAUUAGCUAGUUGGAGAGGUAACGGCUCACCAAGGCGAUGAUGGGUAGCCGGCCUGAGAGGGUGAACGGCCACAAGGGGACUGAGACACGGCCCUUACUCCUACGGGAGGCAGCAGUGGGGAAUAUUGGACAAUGGACCAAGAGUCUGAUCCAGCAAUUCUGUGUGCACGAUGACGUUUUUCGGAAUGUAAAGUGCUUUCAGUUGGGAAGAAAAAAAUGACGGUACCAACAGAAGAAGUGACGGC